GUGGAGGAGGCAGAGGAGGCGCAGGUGGAGAGAGAGGUGGAAGAAGUGGAGGAGGAGGAGGUGACAGAAGGACAGGUUGACAAGGAGGUAACAGAGGAGGUGGAGGGAAGAAUAGGGGAGGUGGAGGAGGUGGAGGGGUGAAUAGGGGAGGUGGAGGAGAUAACAGAGGAGGUGGAGGGGUGAAUAGGGGAGGUGGAGGGGAUUAGAGAGGAGGUGGAGGGGGUGGAGGGGUGAAUAGGGGAGGUGGAGGAGGUGGAGGGGGUAACAGAGGAGGUGGAGGGGGUUAGAGAGGAGGUGGAGGGGGUUAGAGAGGAGGUGGAGGGGGU